GGAAGAAUCACAGAAUUGUUUUUGUUGGAGGAGACCUUUAAGAUGAUCAAGUCCAACCAUUAACCCAUCAUUGCCAGGUCUCCACUAAACUGUGUCCCUCACCACAUCUACACAGGCUUUAGAUGACUCCAGGCAUGGGGACUCCACCACUGCCCUGGGCAGCAUGUUCCAGGGUUUGGCAACCUCUCUGGAGAUCAAAUUGUUCCUAAUGUCCAAACUAAACCGCUCCUGGAGCAUCUUCAGGCUGUUUCCUUUUGUACUGUUGCUUGUCCCUUGGGAAAAGAGACUUCUCAGGAGGUUGUGGAGAGCACGAAGGUCUUCCUCUCAGCCUCUCUGAGGGAGGAGCAGAAGCCAAGGUUAGUUCACACAAUAGCAAGGACUGACAGCCCUAUGGUCUGGGCACACCUGUCUCUCUGCAUGCAACUGAGAUGUGGCCACCACUGCAGUGACCAAAAGAUGGCUUUGGACUGCAGAGCCUUUUUCUUCAGGAGACCAAGCAUGCAACUUCCCUGCAGUAGACCGUGUGAAAAAUAGAUCCUCAGCACUUCGUUGGGAGUAAUGGGUUGACGUGGCUUCCAAAAGGUGCCAAGAAAGAUUCCAUCAUCAUCAUCAUCAUCAUCA